ACGGCCAUACCAUGCUGAAUAUACCGGUUCUCGUUAGAUCACCGAAGUCAAGCAUCAUUGGGCGCGAUCAGUACAUGGGUGGGUGAACACCUGGGAACACCGCGUGCCGUU
rnacentral:rRNA from 1 species